rnacentral:rRNA from 2 species
GUUGACCUCGAUUCAGGUAG